CCGAGGCAAAUUAAGAGGGUGUUUGGUUCCGCCUGCUAGCCACGGUGUUUAGGUCAGUGCUUGGUUCAUGCUUCAAGUGCUCGCCACGCCUCCGAACAGACGUCGCCACCGUUUUCCGCGUCAAAUGUGUGGCGUGGAGUCACCUUCCAUUCUAUUUUCUCUCAUUCGUCGACCGCAGUCACCACCGCGCCAUGGCUGCCGCCGGCUACAAGAGGCGCCAAGCGGAAGUACUCACCUGUGCGAUCUGCGCCCUCCCCGGACAGCGUUGACCCAGCGCGCGUCUAAGGCAGCGCCGGAGCGGUGAACUGGACGGCCGCACGCAUCCACGAUGGUCACCCGCGGCAGCGCUCGAGCAGUCAAGUUGACGGCCACGCAUCUAUGGUGGUCAUCCGCAGCAGUGACCGAGCGGUCAGAUUUGGAUCUUGAACCAGGAAAUCAGCGUCAAGACGUUCGGUCAGAUUUAGUAACUGAUUUUUGUUUUGAGGGAUGCGGUUGUGAGAAUUGCGGAUUUCUGAAGCUUAUCCAUGGACCAUGAUAAACUUCCGUUCUUUUUUCUUAAGAUGAAGAUGGGGCUUACUUGCUUAGCAGGAUCUGCAGUUGUCAAAACAUAUGCAUCUUGCCGCUUAAUUAGAAUCUACUGUUGAAAUGUUGUUUGUUUCAUGAAAGAACAAGAGCAGGUAUUGUUACCGUGAUUUUAACUAAUUAAGUAGCACGGUAGUUUUUAUCAAA